rnacentral:rRNA from 1 species
AUACGUAGGUGGCGAGCGUUGUCCGGAAUUACUGGGCGUAAAGGGCGCGUAGGCGGCUAAUCAAGUCAGAUGUGAAAACCCUAGGCUUAACCUGGGGAUUGCAUUUGAAACUGACUAGCUCGAGUGUCGGAGAGGGAAGCGGAAUUCCUAGUGUAGCGGUGAAAUGCGUAGAUAUUAGGAGGAACACCAGUGGCGAAGGCGGCUUUCUGGACGAUAACUGACGCUGAGGCGCGAAAGCGUGGGGAGCAAACAGGAUUAGAUACCCUGGUAGUCCACGCCGUAAACGAUGGAUACUAGGUGUGGGAGGUAUCGAACCCUUCCGUGCCGCAGUAAACGCAAUAAGUAUCCCGCCUGGGGAGUACGGCCGCAAGGUUGAA